AUAAUGGGUCAGCGACUUAUAUUCUGUAGCAAGGUUAACCGAAUAGGGGAGCCGAAGGGAAACCGAGUCUUAACUGGGCGUUAAGUUGCAGGGUAUAGACCCGAAACCCGGUGAUCUAGCCAUGGGCAGGUUGAAGGUUGGGUAACACUAACUGGAGGACCGAACCGACUAAUGUUGAAAAAUUAGCGGAUGACUUGUGGCUGGGGGUGAAAGGCCAAUCAAACCGGGAGAUAGCUGGUUCUCCCCGAAAGCUAUUUAGGUAGCGCCUCGUGAAUUCAUCUCCGGGGGUAGAGCACUGUUUCGGCAAGGGGGUCAUCCCGACUUACCAACCCGAUGCAAACUGCGAAUACCGGAGAAUGUUAUCACGGGAGACACACGGCGGGUGCUAACGUCCGUCGUGAAGAGGGAAACAACCCAGACCGCCAGCUAAGGUCCCAAAGUCAUGGUUAAGUGGGAAACGAUGUGGGAAGGCCCAGACAGCCAGGAUGUUGGCUUAGAAGCAGCCAUCAUUUAAAGAAAGCGUAAUAGCUCACUGGUCGAGUCGGCCUGCGCGGAAGAUGUAACGGGGCUAAACCAUGCACCGAAGCUGCGGCAGCGACGCUGAUGCGUUGUUGGGUAGGGGAGCGUUCUGUAAGCCUGCGAAGGUGUGCUGUGAGGCAUGCUGGAGGUAUCAGAAGUGCGAAUGCUGACAUAAGUAACGAUAAAGCGGGUGAAAAGCCCGCUCGCCGGAAGACCAAGGGUUCCUGUCCAACGUUAAUCGGGGCAGGGUGAGUCGACCCCUAAGGCGAGGCCGAAAGGCGUAGUCGAUGGGAAACAGGUUAAUAUUCCUGUACUUGGUGUUACUGCGAAGGGGGGACGGA
rnacentral:rRNA from 1 species